GAUGAAGAACGCAGUGAAAUGCGAUAAGUAAUGUGAAUUGCAGAAUUCCGUGAAUCAUCGAAUCUUUGAACGCACAUUGCGCCCCCUGGUAUUCCGGGGGGCAUGCCUGUCCGAGCGUCAUUGCAACCUUCAAGCGCGGCUUGUGUGUUGGGUCUCGUCCCCCGUGGACGGGCCCGAAAGGCAGUGGCGGCGUCCCGACAUGGUGCCCGAGCGUAUGGGAAUCCUCUUCCGCUCGAAUCGGCCCAUGCGGCGCUGGUCGUAACCAAAUUUUUUACCGGUUGACCUCGGAUCAGGUAGGGAUACCCGCUGAACUUAAGCAUAUCAAUAAGCGGAGGA
rnacentral:misc_RNA from 1 species